rnacentral:rRNA from 1 species
UGGGAUAACUUCGGGAAACCGGAGCUAAUACCGGAUAAUAUAUUGAACCGCAUGGUUCAAUAGUGAAAGACGGUUUUGCUGUCACUUAUAGAUGGAUCCGCGCCGCAUUAGCUAGUUGGUAAGGUAACGGCUUACCAAGGCAGCGAUGCGUAGCCGACCUGAGAGGGUGAUCGGCCACACUGGAACUGAGACACGGUCCAGACUCCUACGGGAGGCAGCAGUC